UUUUUGUUUUUCUUUUUUUUUAGAAAAGAUUCCGAAAAAUGAGGGAAACAGGAAGCCCAGAGGUGCCCCUGUAGUUUGGCGAAGGCCUUAGGAGGUCACUUGGAAAUGCCGCUGGCUGAAAUGUUGGUCUUCAGCGAUGUUCAAAGCCUGUGUAUUUCCGCUAGACUCUGGCUUCAGGUCGGUUCCCCCAAAAGGCUCCGAAGCGACCUGAACCAAACAGAAAUGUUGGUCUUCAGCGAUGUUCAAAGCCUGUGUAUUUCCGCUAGACUCUGGCUUCAGGUCGGUUCCCCCAAAAGGCUCCGAAGCGACCUGAACCAAACAGUCUUUCUCGGAUUGAGGCAGGAAACCCUGGCUUCCCUGGACUUGUGCAGGGUGGAGUUCGGAGAGGUGUCCGGGCAUCGGGUUCUUAUCAAGAGGGGACCGGGAAAUCGGGGUCCUUCGGAAUGUGGAACCACCCACGAGGCCACGUCUGGAAUGUCGUCGUGAGACCGGCCUCAUCCUGAG
ensembl:lncRNA